rnacentral:rRNA from 1 species
UACGGAGGGUGCGAGCGUUGUUCGGAAUUACUGGGCGUAAAGCGCGUGUAGGUGGUUGUCCAAGUUGGAUGUGAAAGCCUUGAGCUCAACUCAAGAAAUGCAUUCAGGACUGGAUGGCUAGAGGACCGGAGAGGAUAGUGGAAUUCCCAGUGUAGUGGUGAAAUACGUAGAGAUUGGGAAGAACACCAGUGGCGAAGGCGGCUAUCUGGACGGUUUCUGACACUAAGACUCGAAAGCGUGGGGAGCAAACAGG